rnacentral:rRNA from 1 species
GUCUAUAGCCAUACCACCCUGAAUGCACCCGAUCUCGUCUGAUCUUGGAAGCUAAGCAGGGUCCUGCCUGAUAAGUACUUGGAUGGGAGAAAUAUCCACGAUCAGCA